ensembl:lncRNA
CUGUGACAGGCGCAUUCCCACAAUCCGCCACUUUGCCAUAAAUCACUGUGUCCCUGGGCAGUAUUGUAGGGAAGGGUUUCCCAAACUCAUUUCUAGGGGCCUGUCAUGCCAAAUAGUGUCCACCGGCCAAAUAGUGUCUCCCUCUGCUAGCAGGCUACUGUAACGGUUAUUGCAGCUUUCUGUUUGUAUGUAGCUUGCACUUCAAUGGCAUCCCUCGAGGAGAUAUUUUACCAUUCCAACCAGGCGAAGUGUUCUGAAGACACCUCUGAUCUCGACAAGAGGCACAACAUUCAGAGAAAAUCACAAUUCGGGGUAAUCAUAUCUACCUACGGGGGAAGGAUGGCCAGCCACACAGGAGGGUGAUUUUUGUUAAGGAGGAGAAGGAGGCCGUGCUGACUGUGAUGCUUGCUGGCCAAUUCGGAGUGAAGCGCCUGAUUGCCAAAAUCAACCUACGCUUCUUCUGACAGGGAAUUGUCAAGGAGGUGGACAGCUGGGUCAGUACCUGUCCAGCCUUCCAGAAGUUUGAGAGGGCGAAGACUGUGGCGCCGGAGUUGAAGCACGUCAAAGUUGUUUUACCAUGGCACAUGAUCGGUGAGACUGAACAUGGACAAGGCGCAGGAGAAACAGAAGGAGAGCUACCGGAGCAGAGUCAAGAAGGGGACCAAGUGCUACGACAUCCGGGCAAAUGACUUGGUUUGGAAGAAGAACGAAAGGAAGGCAGAGACCUUGAAAACCUCGCUGCUCCUAGCUGUGGUCACGAUCUGUUAAAGGUUACCUAGGGUUACCUAAGGUUACCUAGGAAGCUAACCAUCUUCUGCAGUUGGACGGUCUACCACUGGAAGCAUUGACGCCCUACACUUCAGUGAAGCCCAAUUUACAAAGGAGGUUAAGCUUUGGUUGACAUUUGAGAAAGCAAGAAAUGGUUGUUAUACUAAGCUUACAAAAAUGUACCUCUUCAAUUUACCUCUCCAAAUGACUUUAGGACCAUCGACUGUCCGAGCCCCCCAGGAGGUAUCCCAUCUACCAGAACCAGUGAGUUCGGAUCAGUCUGAUUCUCUGUGCUCUGAGUCGGAGGGGGACUAGCUUGAGAGCUAGGGGUUUUGGCCAACACCCAGAUCCACCUGAUGUCCUCCAUUACCAACCAUUGUUUUCAUUACCUCAUCUACAGCUACUGUUGUCAUUACGUCAUCUACAGCUACGGUUAUCAUUAUCUGCUAAGAAAGCUGUCUUGCGCUAUCAUACUGGGCACAUAAUAUGUGAGAGACACAGAUUAACUAAAAACAUUAGCACUGAAAAUCCUCUGAACAAAGCGAACAGCAGUGCCUGGACUUCGCAGUCUCCUUCUUCAAGUCCCCCCUUCUGAGACUGGGUGCCUGUUGAGAACAAGUGACAGGCAGAAUCUCCCACCCACACAGCAACCACCUCCUAUAUUCCACACACCAGAAUUAUGUAUUUAGUCUAUGAUUGCCAUGUGAAAAUAAAUUAAUGACACAACUGUACCAAAAAAUAUCAACGUUUCUGUGUUACAAUCUUAAAUAUUGACGGGUUGGUUUUCACAACAUGUUCAUUGCUGUAAGGUAUCCUUUGAUGGUAUUUAUUUGUUCCUCAUUAUUCAUUGAAUGUAGUAAAUUCUGCCGUAGGGAAAGCGUGCAUCUCACAGGUGAGGGCAACGACCUCUUCCUUGAGUUUGAGAGCUGAUCCCUCUUUUGUUCUAGCAAGAGCUGUGCUCUUGGGGUAAUUCUCAAAAUGCAUUUAUUUUUAAUUUUUAAAAGGAAGUGUCAGGGAACAUUGUUUUUUACAUGUAUCUAACCUUUGUGUAGUGACAGUGUCCAUAUAUACUGUACUUCCAUAAAUGUUUUAUACUGGUAUAAGGGGACUUUAUGUAUUAACCUAUCAAGAUCAAAUAUUGUAGUUGGGCAACAUAUGAGAUGUGAAUAUAAAACAUUUCAUUCUGAAGUUGGAGUGUACUUUCUCUUGAUUCAGCUCAAAUAACGGCCGUCAUUGAUUUAAAGAAAUGUUGUGACAUUUUUUACGUGGUUGCGUCAUAUUUCUUUGCGUACUUUCUAUUGAAGCUUGCAUCAAUGCAUGCUUCAAAAUAUGUACAAACGGAGUUUGCAUUUUGAGAAGUGCCCUCCAUGCUCCAUUUCGCAUGCUUUCAUUUGGAAUCGUACUCCGAUCCUCCCGUGCUCCAAUUUUCGUUGUAUGCAUUUUGAGAAUUACCCAUCGACUUUGACAGACCAUUUAAAUUUCUUGAAUCCUUCCUUCCAAAAUGAUUUUGUUCAUUUACUCAAUAGUGAUUUCACGUUUAUU